rnacentral:rRNA from 1 species
AGUGAGCGCUGGCGGCGUGCUUAACACAUGCAAGUCGAACGAGAACGGAUUAUAGCUUGCUAUAAUUGUCAGCUAAGUGGCGCACGGGUGAGUAAUGUAUAGGUAAUAUGCCUCUUACUAAGGGAUAACAAAUGGAAACGCUUGCUAAUACCUUAUACUCCUUAUUAACAGAAGUUAAUAAGGGAAAGAUUUAUUGGUAAGAGAUUAGCCUGUAUUGUAUCAGUUAGUUGGUGGGGUAAUGGCUUACCAAGACUAUGACACAUAACUGGUUUGAGAGGAUGAUCAGUCACACUGGAACUGAGACACGGUCCAGACUCCUACGGGAGGCAGCAAUGGGGAAUAUUGCACAAUGGACGAAAGUCUGAUGCAGCAACGCCGCGUGGAGGAUGACACAUUUCGGUGCGUAAACUCCUUUUAUAUGAGAAGAAAAUGACGGUAUUAUAUGAAUAAGCACCGGCUAACUCCGUGCCAGCAGCCGCCGUAA